GGAGUCUGGACCGUGUCUCAGUUCCAAUGUGGCCGUUCAGUCUCUCAACCCGGCUACCGAUCGUCGCCUUGGUGAGCAUUUACCUCGCCAACAAGCUAAUCGGACGCGAGCUCAUCUUAAAGCGAUAAAUCUAUAAUACAAAAUCCAUGCGAAAACUGUAUAUUACGCGGUAUUAGCAUUCGUUUCCAAAUGUUGUCCCCCACUUUAAGGCAGAUUACUCACGCGUUACUCACCCGUGCGCCACUAAAAACGAGAGCAAGCCCUCGUUUUCGUUCGACUUGCAUGUGUUAGGCAUACCGCCAGCGUUCGUCCUGAGCCACUGAUCAAACUACU
rnacentral:rRNA from 1 species